CGAUGAACCCACUUCGGUGGGGGAUUAGUGGCGAACGGGUGAGUAACACGUGGGCAAUCUGCCCUGCACUCUGGGACAAGCCCUGGAAACGGGGUCUAAUACCGGAUACGACCACUUCAGGCAUCUGAUGGUGGUGGAAAGCUCCGGCGGUGCAGGAUGAGCCCGCGGCCUAUCAGCUUGUUGGUGAGGUAACGGCUCACCAAGGCGACGACGGGUAGCCGGCCUGAGAGGGCGACCGGCCACACUGGGACUGAGACACGGCCCAGACUCCUACGGGAGGCAGCAGUGGGGAAUAUUGCACAAUGGGCGAAAGCCUGAUGCAGCGACGCCGCGUGAGGGAUGACGGCCUUCGGGUUGUAAACCUCUUUCAGCAGGGAAGAAGCGAAAGUGACGGUACCUGCAGAAGAAGCGCCGGCUAACUACGUGCCAGCAGCCGCGGUAAUACGUAGGGCGCAAGCGUUGUCCGGAAUUAUUGGGCGUAAAGAGCUCGUAGGCGGCUUGUCGCGUCGGAUGUGAAAGCCCGGGGCUUAACCCCGGGUCUGCAUUCGAUACGGGCAGGCUAGAGUUCGGUAGGGGAGAUCGGAAUUCCUGGUGUAGCGGUGAAAUGCGCAGAUAUCAGGAGGAACACCGGUGGCGAAGGCGGAUCUCUGGGCCGAUACUGACGCUGAGGAGCGAAAGCGUGGGGAGCGAACAGGAUUAGAUACCCUGGUAGUCCACGCCGUAAACGUUGGGAACUAGGUGUGGGCGACAUUCCACGUCGUCCGUGCCGCAGCUAACGCAUUAAGUUCCCCGCC
rnacentral:rRNA from 1 species